rnacentral:snoRNA from 1 species
UCCAGUGGUAGUCAGCUGUCCAGAGCAGUUCUGUGCCUGUGAUAGUGUUACUCUGCUGGGAGAUAAAGGUCAGUCGUUUCUUCUGGCAGCUGUUGUCACUGUUUUGGAGACAACUAUGCCAAAAAGAAGUGGCAUUGUGCUUCCCUGAGAGCGCACUAAAGAUUUGCUUUCACUCUUUAGUGCUAGUCUGGAAGCAUACAUA